CCUACGGGAGGCUGCAGUGAGGAAUAUUGGUCAAUGGGCUUACGCCUGAACCAGCCAAGUCGCGUGAGGGAAGACUGCCCUAUGGGUUGUAAACCUCUUUUGUCAGGGAGCAACGCCGGCUACGUGUAGCCGGACGGAGAGUACCUGAAGGAAAAGCAUCGGCUAACUACGUGCCAGCAGCCGCGGUAAUACGGAGGAUGCGAGCGUUAUCCGGAUUUAUUGGGUUAAAGGGGUGCGUAGGCGGAAUGCCAAGUCAGCGGGAAAAUCGCGGGGCUCAACCUCGCUCCGCCGUUGAAACUGGCGUUCUGGAGUGGGCGAGAAGUAUGCGGAAUGCGUGGUGUAGCGGUGAAAUGCAUAGAUAUCACGCAGAACUCCGAUUGCGAAGGCAGCAUACCGGCGCCCAACUGACGCUGAGGCACGAAAGCGUGGGUAUCGAACAGGAUUAGAUACCCCUGUAGUC
rnacentral:rRNA from 1 species